ACACAUGCAAGUCGAGGGGCAGCGAGAUUGAAGCUUGCUUCAAUUGUCGGCGACCGGCGGACGGGUGCGUAACGCGUAUGCAACCUACCCAUAACAGGGGGAUAACACUGAGAAAUUGGUACUAAUACCCCAUAACAUCUCGAGUGGCAUCACUUGGGGUUGAAAGCUUCGGUGGUUAUGGAUGGGCAUGCGCUGUAUUAGCUAGUUGGAGAGGUAACGGCUCACCAAGGCGACGAUACAUAGGGGGACUGAGAGGUUAACCCCCCACAUUGGUACUGAGACACGGACCAAACUCCUACGGGAGGCAGCAGUGAGGAAUAUUGGUCAAUGGACGGAAGUCUGAACCAGCCAUGCCGCGUGCAGGAUGACGGCUCUAUGAGUUGUAAACUGCUUUUGUACGAGGGUAAACCCGAAUACGUGUAUUCGGCUGAAAGUAUCGUACGAAUAAGGAUCGGCUAACUCCGUGCCAGCAGCCGCGGUAAUACGGAGGAUCCAAGCGUUAUCCGGAUUUAUUGGGUUUAAAGGGUGCGUAGGCGGUCAGAUAAGUUAGAGGUGAAAUUCCGGUGCUUAACACCGGCGCUGCCUCUAAUACUGUUUGACUAGAGAGUAGUUGCGGUAGGCGGAAUGUAUGGUGUAGCGGUGAAAUGCUUAGAGAUCAUACAGAACACCGAUUGCGAAGGCAGCUUACCAAGCUAUAUCUGACGUUGAGGCACGAAAGCGUGGGGAGCAAACAGGAUUAGAUACCCUGGUAGUCCACGCAGUAAACGAUGAUAACUCGUUGUCGGCGAUACAAUGUCGGUGACUAAGCGAAAGCGAUAAGUUAUCCACCUGGGG
rnacentral:rRNA from 1 species